rnacentral:rRNA from 1 species
CCUACGGGGGGCAGCAGUGAGGAAUAUUGGUCAAUGGACGCAAGUCUGAACCAGCCAUGCCGCAUGCAGGAUGACGGCUCUAUGAGUUGUAAACUGCUUUUGUACAAGGGUAAACGCAGAUACGCGUAUCUGUCUGAAAGUAUCUUACGAAUAAGGAUCGGCUAACUCCGUGCCAGCAGCCGCGGUAAUACGGAGGAUUCAAGCGUUAUCCGGAUUUAUUGGGUUUAAAGGGUGCGUAGGCGGUCGGAUAAGUUAGAGGUGAAAUCCUGAGGCUCAACUUCGGAAUUGCCUCUGAUACUGUUAGGCUAGAGAGUAGUUGCGGUAGGCGGAAUGUAUGGUGUAGCGGUGAAAUGCUUAGAGAUCAUACAGAACACCGAUUGCGAAGGCAGCUUACCAAGCUACUUCUGACGCUGAGGCACGAAAGCGUGGGGAGCAAACAGGAUUAGAUACCCUGGUAGUC